CUGGAGAAGAUGAGUAAGAUGACUUUGAGGAAAAGGUGCCAGGAGAGAAGUCUGACUGCUCCUCUGCUCCCGUCAUGAAGGAAUGCCUCCGUUGAAGAGAGACCUGCCAGAGGGACCAGAGCCCAUGAUUCCUGUAGCUGCCUUGAGAGGAGCCUGGGAUCCGCCUGGCCCUGGGAUACAGGGGUGGGGUGGGGUGCAGAAUGCUCUGAAGGCUUUGGAGAACACAGCGCUGUUUGUCCCAUCUCAUCAUGGUGUAAUUCAAAAUAAAGCAAUACUGAAUGCUAAC